CAAGGUCCAGUGUUUCUUUUGAACAGCCUAAAGAGAAGAGCAAACAUAGCUUCAGGAGAAAUAUCGCCAAAUACUUGUGUUUUUCUUCUAUUGUCAAAAGCUUCAGUAAAACAUAAAUCUUUAUUAAAAUUCUUCUAUUAUUCAGAGACAGCUGGACUAAUUCUGAAAUCAGGAUCUUUAAGUCUGAAACGAUGAGCCAUUCAGACAGUGGCAAUGUGGGGGAAGAUGAAGUUUUUGAACCUCAACAUGAACAAGUAAACAGAGGGUCAAAGGUCACCACAAAAAUAGGGGCGGUGGUGGUUGUCUGUGUUCUCCUGGCAACUGCUGUCUUUUUGACGUUCUACUUCUGGUGAUUUACUGGAACAACAAAGAACCAGACAACUGGUUCCUCAUACCAGCAACUGGUAUAAAGAAAAUCCUGAUGGAGAAGUCUGUGACAGGACGGAGGUAAAAGGUGGCGCUCCUGGCCUGAAGUGUUGGUUUGAUAAAUGGUGCACUAUACCUCAAAGAAAUAACUUAACUGGACAGUUUGUAUUUGGUUUACAUCAAGUUCAACAAAACAAUCUAAGUACAGGGUAGAGAUAGUGAAAUGACACUUUCCAACUCUGAUGUCACAAACACUUAAAAGAAACUUCAAGGAAAAACUUAAAGAGAAGAGUUGAAUAAUAAAACAUGAAAAACCUAUCCUUCUAAUUGCUUUACCUGCUUAAUCAAUUAAAUGU